rnacentral:lncRNA from 1 species
GGCCCUUGUCUUGGCUCUUGACCCUUCCCCUAUGCAAACAAACACAAGCUCUUUGGCAGGGCUGGCAUCGGCGGCUUGAAGGACCGGGUUGGCUAGACGGGAGGAGCGGUUGGCAAGGAGGAUCCUCCUGGGUACCACCACACCUGCCGUCCUGAUCAGGGAUCUGCUCGAAGUCACCAGGAAGGAAAAGCCAUGGAGAGUCUAUGUUCCUGAACUGUGGCAGGUCCUGUGGUCCCCCC